rnacentral:rRNA from 1 species
UACGGAGGGUGCAAGCGUUGCUCGGAAUCACUGGGCGUAAAGCGCGUGUAGGCGGCGUGACAAGUCGGGUGUGAAAGCCCUCAGCUCAACUGAGGAAGUGCGCCCGAAACUGUCGUGCUUGAGUGCCGGAGAGGGUGGCGGAAUUCCCCAAGUAGAGGUGAAAUUCGUAGAUAUGGGGAGGAACACCGGUGGCGAAGGCGGCCACCUGGACGGCUACUGACGCUGAGACGCGAAAGCGUGGGGAGCAAACAGG